GCUGCCCACUAACUACAGUCACGUCCUCUCCUUCCUCGCUGCUUCCUCACCCGAUCUCUCGCUCUCGCUCCUCUUUCCGCUCACUUCACGCUCUCCGAGAUCUCCCCUCCCCGGAGGUAGUGAUCGAUUGAUUCUGAAGUUGGGGGUGCUGGAGAUGGCCGUGUUGAGCCUCUGCUAGGGAUUAGGUUGAAUCCUACACCAUGUUUAAGAACAAGCUCUUCUUCUCGAAGAAAUCGGGAUCUUCCAGCCCCGACGGUUCUAAUAGUCCCCGAUCUUCGGGCUCCAACUCUCCUGUCCGAUCCGACAAGAAGAAGCCUAAAUCUGCUUCCAAAGAGGAUUCUCGGGUCCCUAAUUCGACCUCUCCUUCUGCCUUCGCCGGAGUUGGUUGUAAGCAGACUCAUGUUAAGGAUGGAUUGAAGAAGAAGGAAGCUUCAUCCAAGGGCAAAGAGGUUCCAUCCGAACCUCAAGCUCACUCUCCCGGUAAGUCGAACUUGUCGUCUGCUUCCGAUGGGAAGAAACCGACGGUGGGACCGCCACCUCCGGAGGCGAAGGAAGGACCGGCAUCCGUUUCGCCGAUCCUGGCGUCGUCUCUGGGUCUGAACCGGAUCAAGACUAGAUCCGGGCCGUUGCCACAGGAAAGGUUUUUCAGUUUUAGGACCGAUCGAGCAACACCAGCCGUACCGGCUGCGAGCAACUUGUCGAAGAUGGGCACUGACGGAAACUCUGGUUCGGGCUCUUCGACGUCGGGUUCGGGUAGUGGGAGUAAGGAAGAGGGAAGUAAGAAGCUGGGGUUCCAGGAGAAUAUGGGCAGCGCCCGAACGAGUGAUCGCGAUAGUAUGUCUCCCGAUUCUGGAAAGCUGAAGAACCAGAGCCCCGGAAUUGCAGCGGCAGGAUCUCGGUUGCAGAAUGCGGGAUCCUCAUCAGGAACUGUAGUGCGAUCCGAGGUAUCUUCUGGACGUUCUGGUCCUCUAAGAAGUUCAGAAUUGUGUACCCCAGAGAAUUCAUAUGACUGGGAAAAUCCAAAGGAGUCUGAAUCUCCUCGCUAUCAAGCUUUACUCCGCAUAACCAGUGCUCCGAGAAAGAGGUUUCCUGGUGAUAUAAAAAGCUUUUCCCAUGAGUUGAACUCAAAAGGUGUACGCCCUUUUCCAUUGUGGAAGCCUCGCAGGUUGAAUAACGUGGAGGAAAUAUUGGUUCUGAUUCGAACAAAAUUUGAUAAAGCAAAGGAAGAAGUGAACUCUGAUCUUGCGAUAUUUGCUGCGGAUCUGGUGGGAAUUCUUGAGAAAAAUGCAGAAAGUCAUCCCGAGUGGCAGGAAACGAUAGAAGACUUGUUGAUUUUGGCUCGGAGUUGUGCUAUGACAACUCCUGGAGAGUUCUGGCUUCAGUGUGAAGGCAUAGUUCAGGAGUUAGACGAUAGACGUCAAGAGCUUCCCCCUGGUGUGCUCAAGCAGCUUCAUACUCGGAUGCUCUUUAUCCUUACCAGAUGUACUAGAUUACUGCAGUUCCAUAAGGAAAGUUGGGGUGAAGAGGAACGGGUCAUCCAACUGCGUGAGUCAAGAGUCUUGCAUUCUGCUGAUAAAAGAGUCCCUUCUGGAGCGAUCAGGGAUGGGAGAAGUUCAAGUGCUGCAAGGGUUCAAAGAGUACCAUCGAGCAAGAAAUCUCAUAGUCAGGAGCAGCGUGGUUUGGACUGGAAGGAGGACCUAGCUGUUCAUCCUAUUCCUCGUCUCUCUUCUCCAGACAAUGAUGCUUCGAAGGAAUCUGAAUCUCCUGCUAGCAUGGACCGGAUGUCUUCCUGGAAAAAACUCCCAUCUCCAGCAACCAAGUCUGCCAAAGAAGCUACUGCACCAAAAGAGCAGAAUGAUAUCAAAGGUGAACCUUCACUCAUGGUUAGAAGGAGAGGAAUUACUGAUGAUGACAUGGCUGUUGUUAAGCCACCAGAGGGUCCUCCAGCAAAAGAAUCACAUGAAGUUUCGUCUAAGCAUCGGCACAAUAUUUCUUGGGGUUACUGGGGGGAUCAGCCAAGUAUUUCUGAGGAAAGUUCAAUUAUAUGCCGUAUCUGUGAGGAGGAAGUUCCAACCACCCAUGUGGAGGAUCAUUCUAGAAUCUGUACACUGGCUGAUAGAUAUGAUCAAAAAGGAAUGAGUGUUGAUGAGCGAUUGGUUUCAAUUGCUGUAACUCUUGAGAAGAUAGCAGAAACCUUUGCACAGAAGGAUAGCCUGCCGACGGCAGAUAGUCCAGAUGGUAUGAAAGUUUCCAAUUCGAGCAUGACUGAAGAAUCCGAUGUUCUCUCCCCAAAGCUGAGUGAUUGGUCGCGAAGAGGGUCAGAGGACAUGCUUGACUGUUUCCCCGAGGCUGAUAAUUCAGUUUUCAUGGACGAUAUGAGAGGUUUACCUUCUAUGUCAUGUAAAACACGUUUUGGUCCCAAGUCUGAUCAAGGCAUGACAACUUCAUCCGCUGGAAGCAUGACUCCUAGAUCUCCUAUUCCGACCCCUAGACCUGAUCCUAUUGAACUGUUAUUAGGUGGCAAGGGUACGUUCCAUGAGCAUUAUGAUAUUCCACAGAUGAAUGAACUUGCUGAUAUUGCAAAAUGUGCAGCAAAUGCACCUCCUGAUGACGAGCAAUCCAUUCCUUACCUACUUUCUUGUCUUGAGGACUUGAGGGUUGUCAUAGACCGCCGGAAGUUUGAUGCACUUGUGGUAGAAACUUUCGGGACUCGCAUUGAAAAGUUGAUCCGGGAGAAGUAUCUGCAGAUGUGUGAGCUUGUAGAUGAUGAAAAAGUUGACCUAUCAAGCACGGUAAUUGAUGAAGAUGCUCCUUUAGAAGAUGAUGUUGUUCGCAGCUUGAGGACGAGUCCAGUACAUACUAAGGACCGCACCUCCAUAGAUGAUUUUGAGAUCAUAAAACCAAUUAGUAGGGGAGCUUUUGGUCGAGUUUUCCUGGCUAAAAAGAGAACAACUGGGGACCUAUUUGCAAUCAAGGUUCUGAAGAAGGCAGAUAUGAUCCGCAAGAAUGCUGUUGAAAGUAUACUUGCUGAACGUGAUAUUUUAAUUAAUGUCCGCAAUCCUUUUGUGGUCCGUUUCUUCUAUUCAUUCACGUGCCGCGAGAACUUGUAUCUUGUGAUGGAGUAUCUGAAUGGAGGAGAUUUAUAUUCAUUGUUGAGAAAUUUGGGUUGCUUAGAUGAAGAUGUUGCCCGUGUAUACAUGGCCGAAGUUGUUCUUGCUCUGGAAUAUUUGCAUUCUGAGGGUGUUGUUCACCGUGAUUUGAAGCCUGACAAUUUGUUGAUUGCACAUGAUGGUCAUAUCAAGUUGACAGAUUUUGGGCUCUCAAAAGUUGGUCUCAUCAACAACACCUAUGAUCUUUCUGGUCCAGCCGUGAGUGGGACAUCUCUGCUUGGUGAGGAGGAGCCAGAGUUACCGACAUCCGAGCAUCAACUUGAGAGGCGCAAGAAACGGUCUGCUGUGGGUACACCUGACUACUUGGCGCCAGAAAUUCUUCUGGGGACAGGACAUGGUGCAACUGCGGAUUGGUGGUCUGUCGGUAUAAUUCUGUUUGAACUCAUUGUGGGCAUUCCGCCAUUUAACGCAGAGCAUCCUCAGCAAAUAUUUGACAAUAUUCUCAACCGUAAGAUACCAUGGCCCCGUGUACCAGAAGAAAUGAGCCAUGAAACUCAAGAUUUGAUAGACCGGUUACUAACGGAAGAUCCUCAUCAGAGACUUGGAGCUAGAGGGGCAACUGAGGUCAAGCAGCACAUCUUCUUUAAAGACAUAAACUGGGACACAUUAGCAAGGCAGAAGGCUGCUUUUGUGCCAGCUUCGGAAAGUGCUUUUGACACAAGUUACUUCAGAAGUCGCUACUCAUGGAACCCUUCAGAUCAGCAAUUUUUUCCGACCAGUGAGGUCGAAGAUUCCAGUGAUGCUGACAGCUUGAGUGGCAGCAGUGGUUGCUUAAGUAAUCGUCAUGAAGAAGUGGGGGGUGAAUGCGGAGGACUUUCAGAGUUUGAAUCUGCAGCAUCUGUCAAUUACUCCUUCAGUAAUUUCUCGUUUAAGAAUCUCUCACAGUUGGCGUCAAUCAACUAUGAUCUUCUUUCCAAAGGCUGGAAAGAUGAACAAGAAUCAAACUCACAACAACAAUAACGUACCGGAGAAUUGAUCUUAUUAUUCUCUGUGGGAUCUGCUUUUUCACAUUUCUGGAGUGUUUGGUGCGCAUGUGUGGCCAUGCAAUGGGCACUCAUCGUUACCAGCGGCAUUUGUAUACACUCUCUGUACAUGUAAGAAAAAGAGGUUUUUCUGAGUGUGAAAACUGGUAAAAAGAUGGGGCAGGAAUAAUGGGAAUGGACAUAUGUUUCUGAUUGUGGGGUUGGUAU